rnacentral:lncRNA from 1 species
CAGAAAUGUAGCAGAACGUGUUAUAUUUAUCUUCAGAUGGAGCGGAGUAAAGUACAGGACUGGAGUACAUUAACUGUUUCUGACCUCAUGACCUGAGCCGUUUCCAACAGGACGUGAUCUCUGUGACUGUGAACCUUUCAGAAUAAAAGCACACUUCACUUUGGCUGCAGUUUCUUCACUUUUAUUUGGUAAAAAACAGUAUUUACAGCGACUUUUACAUCUGCAAAAAACAAAAUCUUAUUCAAUAAUAAUUUAAUUAAAGCUGCCUUCAAGUCGAGACGCUGCAGUGAAACAGGAAAUACAUUUAAAUGUGAACUUCUCACAUGAAUAUGACGAGUUUUCUGUCUUUUUAUGUUUUGGCCAAAAUCUAACAAAUGUUCAGAGUCAGGUUUAAAUGUGUGGUUUUAUUUUGUGAACUCCCGUGUCCAACAGUGACCCCGCCUUUAUACUUGGUACUGCAGGAAAAUGAAUGGGAGUCUGUGGCCAACUGUAAUGUAGAGCUGGAUGACGAGCGCGAAGCAGAAAUCACAAAAUUAUUUUAAACGAAAUCAAAUUUGGCAGAAAAUUAGUUCAUGGCCUCCCAGUCAAAAAGUCUCUUUAUAUUUGCCCAGUUUCACGGCAGAGUCUGGCCUUUAACAGUAAACCAUUCACUCAGUCAGUAAAGUAAAGUGCAGUCAGCUCCAGAUGGGGCACCUUCUUUAGGCUCAGUCCGGUGCCGCGGGGGUCGGUAUGGGUCCUCUGGUUCCGUAUGGGUCUAUCCCGUCCGUGGGGUCUUCUGGGUCCGUAUGGUCUAUCCCGUCCCGUGGGGGUCUGUCUGGGGUCCGUAGGGGUCUAUCCUGUCCCGUGGGGGUCUGUCUGGGUCCGUAUGGGUCUAUCCUGUCCCGUGGGGGCCUGUAUGGGUCCGUAUGGUCUAUCCCGUCCCGUGGCUGCUGGACUCGAACACUCCCUUCUUGAAGAACGGCGAGAGUUCGUAGACGUGACGUUUGUUCAGAGGCUCAGAGUCCGGUUUGAGCGGAGACGGAGACAUCAACUGGACCAGGGAGAACAGGGCCUUCAGAUACCGCUGCAAACACACGAAGGUUAA